rnacentral:rRNA from 1 species
UACGUAGGGUGCAAGCGUUGUCCGGAAUUAUUGGGCGUAAAGAGCUCGUAGGCGGUCUGUUGCGUCGGCUGUGAAAACCUGCAGCUUAACUGUGGGCUUGCGGUCGAUACGGGCAUCACUGGAGUUCGGCAGGGGAGACUGGAAUUCCUGGUGUAGCGGUGAAAUGCGCAGAUAUCAGGAGGAACACCGGUGGCGAAGGCGGGUCUCUGGGCCGAUACUGACGCUGAGGAGCGAAAGCGUGGGGAGCGAACAGG